rnacentral:rRNA from 1 species
CCUACGGGUGGCAGCAGUGGGGAAUAUUGCACAAUGGGGGAAACCCUGAUGCAGCGACGCCGCGUGAGUGAAGAAGGAAUUCGUUAUGUAAAGCUCUAUCAGCAGGGAAGAAAAUGACGGUACUUGAGCAAGAAGAACCGGCUAACUACGUGCCAGCAGCCGCGGGAAUACGUAGGGGGCAAGCGUUAUCCGGAUUUACUGGGUGUAAAGGGAGCGUAGAAGGCAGUGCAAGUCUGGAGUGAAAGGCGUGGGCUCAACCCCCGGACUGCUCUUGAAACUGUAGGGCUGGAGUGCAGGAGAGGUAAGUGGAAUUCCUAGUGUAGCGGUGAAAUGCGUAGAUAUUAGGAGGAACACCAGUGGCGAAGGCGGCUUGCUGGACUGUAACUGACGUUGAGGCUCGAAAGCGUGGGGAGCAAACAGGAUUAGAUACCCGAGUAGUC